UUUCAGCUUCUGGACAGUACACUGCUGCUACAAAAUAUGAGUUGGUUAUCGCUGCUAGUUUCACCUUCAAAACUUAAACAACCUACCCGUCCAUCUCGCUAAUUUGGGGACGACCUGGACUGCCGAGGUACACCCUAAACUUCAUUUUUUACUCUAGAAGCUGCUUCACCCAAAUCUAACUACCAUGGAGCCUUUCCGCAAGAAGGAUAUGACUUCCCCCCGGCGACUGCCCCGUUAGGCAGGGACCUCACCUUGCCCCGAUUUGGGUCCUCGCUUGGUGGCGGCUAUGGAGAAGUAGAGAUUCGAAGGUGUUUGACCGUACACAAGGGCUGUCGGACACUCUACAUGCAAUUAUGUCGCCAAGUAACAGAGCUGCAACACCUACUUCCUGACUCUCUGCCCACUGCCGUCAUUGUAGGCCACACUUCCAUCUUCCAACCAGUGUGGAAGCCGCCUGUAAGCCCUCGAUUCAUGAUCAACGUUAAUGGUGCCUUCUAGCCACACAGGUGCGUCGACGAGAUGGGUUUUGCAAGAUUCCUGGGGGGUUGUACUACAUGCGGCAGGAACGCCAUAUCAUGGCCUUACCAAUCCCUUCAUUUUCUGAGUUAGUGGCUGUCCGAGACACCUGUUUAUGGUGUCAACGGAAUGGGUUUUUGCAAGUGGAUAUUGAAG
rnacentral:lncRNA from 1 species